CAACUGUUGUUUUUACACUAAAAGCCUUUUAUGCAAAUGAAGAAUCUUUUGAUAUUUAUUUUGGUGAUGGAAACAUGAACACUUUGUUAUGCCCUACUGAGAGAAAUUUAAGCUGCACAAUUCAAUACACUUACUCAUCAGCUGGAAUUUAUAGAGUAAAGGUAGAAUCAACCAAGGGAACCAACAUUUCCUCUGUGAUCAUAGUUCAAGAAUACAUCAAAGACUUGCUUGUUAUUGGUCCUAAAACGUGGAAACUUACUGUAAGUGAACAAGUUCCAUCAUCUGUAACCUGGACAGCACAGAUCUCACAAGGAUCAAAUUGCAUCUAUCAGUGGACAUUUUUAAAU